GCCUACUUCUACAGGACUUGUACUAAAACUGAAACAAUACAGAGAUUAGCAUGGCCCCUGAGCAAGGAUUUCAUGCAAAUUUGUGAAGCAUUCAAAUUUUAA